AUAAGUACCAGAUAAGUAAUGGGGUCGAUGUAAUCAAUUUACCACCUCCCAGAAAUUGCUGGCCUUGUGCCAAAAUUUGAAAUUAUUAUUAGCAAUAUUCUUGCCUCUUUCUUUUCAUAAAUAUUUGCUGCUGUCUUUUUUGAUGGGUGAGGUAGAGGGGCCCUUUGUUUUAAUCAUUUCUUUCACAUAUAUAUAUAUGUGUAUAUAUGUAUAUACAUGCAUUUAGCCUCUUUCAUCUUGCCAUGAUGUCCCUCAUUAUUUACUGAAAGCACUCUAAGGCUUUUGUAAUGCUGUUGAAUUACUGCAGCAUUGGCUUAUGUAUAUUAUAUAAAUAUACAUGGUUAUUAUCAGUGUUAUUUUUCGACAGUUUAAAUAAGACUUUUGACUGUUAUUUCCAUCAAGUAGACAUACUCAGUAUGUGUGCGUGCAUGAGCAUCCUUGUUAUGAGAUGGGUUUACAAGUGCUGCAAAUUUUCUGCUUUACUUUUGUAUAUGUGAGAUGUUUAAAAAAAAUCUAUGAAUAUUUGAAGACCACUAGAUCUUGUCAGUUUCUUUUUCCUUUCCUCCAGUACCACCAUGACCACCACCACAGCCACUAAUCCCAAUAAUAUCAACAUCAAUGGAGGUCACUCAACUUGGUAGAAAUAGUAUCCUAGUGUCCCUCUAAUUACACCUCACUCUUUUAAAAACAAUAAGAACUU